UUUGGAAGAAAGGUACUGCUUGACAAAGAACCCAGUCUCUUGAAUAAGGGUUUAUACUGGCACUUCGCUGUGUUUAUAAUACCAUAUCCUGGGGUUUCUGAGACUGGUGCUAUUCUGCUGUGUGAGAUGUUUUAGAAUCCUAGGCUUAAAUGUACUUAAUACAUUAAGUGAAGUAAAUUUGUCAGGACCAUCUGUCUUUUAUGAGCAAAAUAUUUUUAUUUUUUCAAAAAGCUUCCCAGAAUAGACAUCAUGUUGACUAGAUUUUUUAUAUGUAGAACUUUGUGCUUCUCUUUUUCCCCUUUUAGAUGUUGGAUGACUUUUUUUGCACUGGCAUUGGAAACAUACAGGUGCUCGCAUUUCCAAAGAAGGAUCCUACAUGUAGGAAAAGACUCUUUUCCUUGAUCCCUCAACUUUACAUAAAUCAAUGGUAGUUUUCAAUCAGUCAAUGAUGAGGUGCACCUUUACCCUGCCUUUGGCCUGACUUCAGACUAACAAGGCUAAUUACCCCUCUCAUCUCAUCUUUCAUCAGAGUAUAGUGAGCCACAGAUGAAUGAAGUGAAUCAGAGAUGAAUAAACUUUCUUGAGUAACAGCUCAUUUUAUCAGUUAUCACCAAAACCUUUGCAUCUCAGUUUCAGUUAAUCUAUAAGGUGUAUUGCUGCACUGUGUUCUUCCUAAAUUUGUGCCAAAUCUGCUGAGGAUUCUGCAAAAUUAGUGCUUUUCAAAUGCUUUCACUUCCUCAGAGAUUACAAAUGGUGCAUUAAAUAUGCACUUCUACUGGUA